CGCGGUGAUUUACCCCUGCGUGGCCAGUUUCGUUUGUUCCCGACCACGGGAAACGCUAUUAAUCGAAAUAUCCGUGGAUGCGCAUACUGUAUUCUCAUUUAUACGCAAAUGUAACCAACACCCAACAUUGUCGACAAUUUACUUUAUAUGAAUGGAAAGAAAGACUCACCUCUUUGACCUUGUCCCUCCGUUCCCUGGCGAUGGGGUCCUUGUCCUCUCCACCGACCGUCAAAGGAAGUUUACUGGCGGGUGCUGGCGGCACAGUCUCCAGAACUUCGUUCUUCCGGUGAAGCACUAACGAUGGUGAACUAGUAACACGCACAUGUAUUUCACCAAUCACUUCCGGUUUCUCCAACAUCUUCUGUUGCUGAUAUUCCUCGUCGAUCUUUGCCUGAAAUUCGGUCAGAUCGAGUCGCGGAUCGAGAUUUUUCGAAUGACGGUUUUUUUUUUUAUUUUUAAAUCAAUUAGAUGCGUUAAUUUCAAUUUGAUCGUCGAGAAUAAGAAAAUAAAAUAAAAAUCCGAUGGUCUCUCGUUAAGCUAGUCCUUGUUAUUAAAAUAAUCUAUUUUUUCUGAUACGAAUUUUAAUUUUUUCAUAAAUUAAGAAAGAAAUCAGAUAUGGAAAGAAUAAAUUUCGAUUCACUGUUUGGAAUAAUUUCAAAUAAACAAUGUUUUUUAUCUCAUCGGUAAUGGAAGAUCUUAUUUCGUGAAGGAUCAAUUGCAAAAAGAAUUACAUUAUUUAUUAAAUUAUUAAAAUUAAUGGUAUGGAAGAAUUAAUGUUUAAAUUUCAUGUAUACAGGAUGUCUGGUUAAAAUGUUUUUGCUAUCAUUUAUACAUUGUUUUAUUAGAUAACGUUUAGAUAACGUUGCUAACUUCAACUUCGAACGAAUUAUAAACUUUGUGGCUUAUCAGAUUGCAAAUAUUUAUCUACCUGAUAAAUUUUUCAAUGUCGAAUAACUCAAAGAACUGUGUACCAUUCCUCGCACGAAUUAUUCAAUAAUAAAAUUAUUUCCAUAAAAAAAAAUGAAAUAAUACAUUCAGCACGGAAUCGAAGCGAAAAAUGGAGGUAUCUAAAUAAGCAAACAGAAAAAAAAAAUCAAACAACGAAACGUUUACUCAGAACAUAUCGAAAUUCCACGGUGUCAUCGAAUCUCCAUAAAACCAUAUAAUCAAAGUCAAUUUAUUCAAGAUACAGGAUGUUUGAGCUGGAGAGGUCAGUAACAGCGACACAGUCUCUUUGAGAUCGUGAAAUUUAUUUUCCCAGCCAUUUACAAAUUACAAUUUAUCAACGCGCAUUUUCAUCGCCCCUUCAAAUUCAGACCCUAUUUCCGACCGAUACACGCGGCAAUGAUUUAUACAAAAUUUUCAUCUUAAAGCGUGGAAAAGAUCGGUCCACCCCAUAUCGAAUAAAAAUCAAAUUUUUUCGGACCGCUUGAGAGAGAGAGACCUCGGAUCUAUUUAUUCGAACACCGCCGUACGAAUGCAAUCUCGUCUCGAGAACACGCUUCUUUCGCUCGAAUCGCUCAGAAAAUAUCGGCUCUCGACCAGCCGUGAUUAUAAAAGAACGAAAGGUGAAAUGUUGCGAGUAUAACGCUUGCUUUUCCCUCUGCGUUAAACGAUUUCGAACUCCAUCACGAGUCGUUUUUUCGAAGAAAAACCGAUUAUGAGUUGUUCGUGGGAACGAAUAAGAAGUAUUUUGUUUGGAGAAAAAAAUUUUUAUAUUGUAUAAUUGCAACUUUGAACUCAUUUAGAUUUAUUAAUAAUAAUUUGAAAGGAAGGAUUCUGAAUUGAAUCUUUAUUAUUGGACUGCCAAUGUUAUUUAUGUAAAUCCAGAAAAAUUUUAAAAUAUUUUCACACCGAAUUCUAAUUUUUAUGUUAGUUUCUAUCUUAUUUGCUAUUGGUGUUAUUCCUUUGUUAUCGCAUUUCUUGUGAAGUUUAAAGUAUACAGUUACAUUAUCCUUGUAUAUAUAAGUAACAUUAAUAUAACAGCUAUUUUCCAUUAAAGUUUUAUUAAAAUUCAGUGUCCCGACAAAUAAGAUUGAUUCAAAUACAUUAUAGA